rnacentral:rRNA from 1 species
CGAGAAUUUUUCUCAAUGGGCGCAAGCCUGAAGGAGCGACGCCGCGUGGGGGAUGAAGGGUUUCGAUCCGUAAACCCCUGUCAUUUGUGAACAAUGUCUAUUAUUUAAAAGAUGAUGGAUUGAUAGUAGUGAAAGAGGAAGGGACGGCUAACUCUGUGCCAGCAGCCGCGGUAAUACAGAGGUCCCGAGCGUUGUUCGGAUUCACUGGGCGUAAAGGGUGCGUAGGUGGCGAUGUAAGUUUGAUGUGAAAUCUCCGGGCUUAACCCGGAAAUGGCAUUGAAUACUACAUUGCUGGAGGAUUGGAGGGGGGACUGGAAUUCUCGGUGUAGCAGUGAAAUGCGUAGAUAUCGAGAGGAACACCAGUGGCGAAGGCGAGUCCCUGGACAAUACCUGACACUGAGGCACGAAAGCUAGGGGAGCAAA